AUACCUUUCUCGGCUUUUUGGCUAAGAUCAAGUGUAGUAUCUGUUCUUAUCAGUUUAAUAUCUGAUAUGUGGUCCAUCGGAUCACACGAUAUUAACUCUAUUUUUUUAGAGAGGAAAACUCGUACUGCACGGGCCUGGCUCAACCCAACUAACCAAUAGUUCAACUCUUUCUCGUCAACUAGAUAAGCUAAACUCAA